rnacentral:lncRNA from 1 species
CUGACAGUUUGGCUUCCCUGUUCCAGGUGGCAAAGCCUGUGGGGUAUUCACCUACCUGCUGCAUGAAGGCAGCAUGGAGGGACUGUGGUGGAUUAUCUGCAAAGAUGGCCCAAAUUCUCUCAUCCCUGCAGGUACAUACAAGGAAAUUGAGGUGUACGGAAUGCUUAUUUGGUUGACUCAGUAUCAUCCUAAAUGUAUGAACUAAUGUUUAGGAGUUUGCAGUUCACCCGCAAACCUCAGCGAUCCAAGCUCCCCUGGAUGACCAUCACUCACCUAGAAAAGAACAAUAACAGGACCUGUUUUGCUAAUCCAGGACUGUUCUCCAGCACUAACUCUAAAUAAUCCCUUCUGUUAGAGUCCACUUUCUGGAACCUGUUGGAGAGGACAUCUUAUUCUUAUUGGAUCACGCACAGUGCCUGAAGCAUUCUGUUGCAUGUAGAAAUCAGUAAAUUGCAGAUGUAAGAUUCAAAACGAGACUUCACAUCUACCGACUUCAGUGAUCCUGAAAUUUGUCCACAGAGAGCAUUUAACAUAACUGUCUUCAUCAUCUCCUUCUCUAAUUAAAAACUAUGGUUCACAAAGACAUUAUUGGUGAUUCAAUCUUGAGUCAUGAAAAGCCAACCUUGAGCCACAAAAAGUCAACCUUGAGCCAAGCAGAGUGGAGAGUCAUACUGGCCAUUCCUGGGACCAUCAAAAAUGGCAGAGGUCACACAAAAGGCAAAACCUUUAAGAGGUGUUUUAAACAUCGUAUGG